rnacentral:rRNA from 1 species
CUUCCGUAGGGGGGACCUGCGGAAGGAUCAUUAAAGAGUAAGGGUGCUCAGCGCCCGACCUCCAACCCUUUGUUGUUAAAACUACCUUGUUGCUUUGGCGGGACCGCUCGGUCUCGAGCCGCUGGGGAUUCGUCCCAGGCGAGCGCCCGCCAGAGUUAAACCAAACUCUUGUUAUUAAACCGGUCGUCUGAGUUAAAAUUUUGAAUAAAUCAAAACUUUCAACAACGGAUCUCUUGGUUCUCGCAUCGAUGAAGAACGCAGCGAAAUGCGAUAAGUAAUGUGAAUUGCAGAAUUCAGUGAAUCAUCGAAUCUUUGAACGCACAUUGCGCCCCUUGGUAUUCCGAGGGGCAUGCCUGUUCGAGCGUCAUUACACCACUCAAGCUAUGCUUGGUAUUGGGUGCCGUCCUUAGUUGGGCGCGCCUUAAAGACCUCGGCGAGGCCUCACCGGCUUUAGGCGUAGUAGAAUUUAUUCGAACGUCUGUCAAAGGAGAGGACUUCUGCCGACUGAAACCUUUUAUUUUUCUAGGUUGACCUCGGAUCAGGUAGGGAUACCCGCUGAACUUAAGCAUAUCAAUAAGGCGGAGGAAGAG